rnacentral:rRNA from 1 species
GACGAACGCUGGCGGCGUGCUUAACACAUGCAAGUCGAACGGAGUGGCGAACGGGUGAGUAACACGUGGGUGACUGCCCCCCUCUCUGGGAUAACAGUUGGAAACGGCUGCUAAUACCGGAUAGUGGGGGCUGACUCGCGUCCUAUCAGCUUGUGGGUGGGGUAGUGGCCUACCAAGGCGGCGAUGGGUAGCCGGCCUGAGAGGGCGACCGGCCACAUUGGGUGGAGUUACGGCCCCAACUCCUACGGGAGGCAGCAGUGGGGAAUAUUGCACAAUGGGGGAAACCGUGAUGCAGCAACGCCGCGUGCGGGAUUACUGCCUUCGGGUUGUAAACCGCUUUCAGCCAUGACGCGGUAGUGGCAGAAGAAGCACCGGCUAACUACGUGCCAGCAGCCGCGGUAAUUC